rnacentral:SRP_RNA from 1 species
GCCAGGUGUGGUGGCGCACACCUGUAAUCCCAGCUACUCAGGAGGCUGAUACAGGAGAAUCGCUUGAACCCGGGAGGUGGAGGUUGCAGUGAGCCGAGAAUGCGCCACUGCACUCCAGCCUGGGUGACAGAGCGAGACUCUUUCUCAA